CCCUUAGAUGUUCUGGGCUGCACGCGCGCUACACUGACACACUCAGCGAGUCCCCUGGCCCGAGAGGGUUGGGUAAUCAUGUGAGCGUGUGUCGUGAUGGGGAUAGAAUAUUGUAAUUAUUGCUCUUCAACGAGGAAUUCCUAGUAAGCGCGAGUCAGCAGCUCGCGCUGAUUACGUCCCUGCCCUUUGUACACACCGCCCGUCGCUCCUACCGAUGGGGUGAUCCGGUGAAUGAUUCGGACUUCCGCAAGGCUGGCGACCAGUUUUUGCGGAGGAAAGUCUUGUGAACCUUAUCACUUGGAGGAAGGAGAANUCGUANCA
rnacentral:rRNA from 1 species